AGUGAACGCUGGCGGUAGGCCUAACACAUGCAAGUCGAACGGCAACACAGUAAGAGCUUGCUCUUACGGGUGGCGACUGGCGGAUGGGUGAGGAAUACACCGGAAUCUACUUUUUCGUGGGGGAUAGCGUAGGGGAACUUACGCUAAUACCGCAUACGACCUGCGGGUGAGAGCAGAGGUUCUUCCGACCUUGGGCGAGUUCAUGGGCUGACGGCGUAUUGGCUAGUUGGCGGGGUAAAGGCCCACCAAGGCGAAGAUCCGCAGCGGGUCUGAGAGGCUGAUCACCCACACUGGAACUGAGACACGGUCCAGACUCCUACGGGAGGCAGCAGUGGGGAAUAUUAGACAAUGGGCGCAAGCCUGAUCCAGCCAUACCGCGUGUGUGAAGAAGGCCUUCGGGUGGGAAAGCCCUUUUGUUGGGAAAGAAAAGCAGCAGGUUAAUACCCAGCUGUUCUGACGGUACCCAAAGAAUAAGCACCGGCUAACUUCGUG
rnacentral:rRNA from 1 species